GAAUAUUGGACAAUGUGCGAAAGCCUGAUCCAGCCAUGCCGCGUGCGUGAAGAAGGUCUUCGGAUUUUAAAGCACUUUAAGUUGGGAGGAAGGGCAGUAAGCGAAUACCUUGCUGUUUUGACGUUACCAACAGAAUCAGCCCCGGCUAACUCUGUGCCCGCAGCCGCGGUAAUACAGAGGGUGACAGCGUUAAUCGGAAUUAAUGGGCGUAAAGCGCGCGUAGGUGGUUCGUUAAGUUGGAUGUGAAAUCCCCGGGCUCAACCUGGGAACUGCAUCAAAAACUGGCGAGCUAGAGUAGGGCAGAGGGUGGUGUAAUUUCCUGUGUAGCGGUGAAAUGCGUAGAUAUAGGAAGGAACACCAGUGGCGAAGGCGACCACCUGGGCUCAUACUGACACUGAGGUGCGAAAGCGUGGGGAGCAAACA
rnacentral:rRNA from 1 species